CAUGUGCAGUGAAGAUUGACCCUCAACCCACAAGGUGUUGUUUGGAUGCGUCAAUUCCACUUGGCUUGAGAAGAACUCGUCCUAGAGUUGAAAUCUGGCGCAACUUCAACUGGACUGUGUUCUCUCUUGGGCGCUCUGCUCUAGCACAUGUUUUGGGAGGUCUCCUUUGGCGAUGGUUGUGUCUCCUUCUUGGUCUGUACAUCAAGUGCCCGUCCUUAACAUUCUCUUGUGUCUUAGCAAUGGCCUUCGUCUUGUUGUCUUCUUGUGAUGGAUCAUCUAUCAUUGGCUUGAUGAUGCUUUUCUUCCCUUCAUACAUGGAAUUGUAAAUGGUAGUGUAACCACAAUAUUGCAAGCAUCCACCAUACAUCCGUUGUGGACUGUGUAUGUCAAAGCAAAUGUCAUUGGAAUAACAAUGCAACAUAUAAAAUCAGCAUAAUGUGGUCCCAAUGAGUAAA